rnacentral:rRNA from 2 species
UACGUAGGGUGCAAGCGUUAAUCGGAAUUACUGGGCGUAAAGCGUGCGCAGGCGGUUAUGUAAGACAGAUGUGAAAUGCCCGGGCUUAACCUGGGAACUGCAUUUGUGACUGCAUGGCUAGAGUGUGUCAGAGGGGGGUAGAAUUCCACGUGUAGCAGUGAAAUGCGUAGAUAUGUGGAGGAAUACCGAUGGCGAAGGCAGCCCCCUGGGAUAACACUGACGCUCAUGCACGAAAGCGUGGGGAGCAAACAGG